ensembl:snoRNA SNORD12 small nucleolar SNORD12/SNORD106
GCCAUUGCAGCUGAUGACAGAACUUUUUUCCCCAUCAGAUCGACCAUGUUGAUCUCUUAACUACUAGCCAGUUUUUUGUCUGAUGCAUUGGC